UACGGAGGGGACUAGCGUUGUUCGGAAUUACUGGGCGUAAAGCGCACGUAGGCGGAUUUGUAAGUCAGGGGUGAAAUCCCGGGGCUCAACCUCGGAACUGCCUUUGAUACUGCAAAUCUCGAGUCCGGAAGAGGUGAGUGGAAUUCCUAGUGUAGAGGUGAAAUUCGUAGAUAUUAGGAAAGAACACCAGUGGCGAAGGCGGCUCACUGG
rnacentral:rRNA from 1 species